AAAUUGAAGAGUUUGAUCAUGGCUCAGAUUGAACGCUGGCGGCAGGCCUAACACAUGCAAGUCGAACGGUAACAGGAAGCAGCUUGCUGCUUCGCUGACGAGUGGCGGACGGGUGAGUAAUGUCUGGGAAACUGC
rnacentral:rRNA from 4 species